GGGGGUAGAGCUCAGUGGUAGAGUGCGUGCUUGGCGUGCACGAGGUCCUGGGUUCAAUCCCCAGUGCCUCUG